rnacentral:lncRNA from 1 species
UUUUUUUUUUUUUUUUUUUUUUUUGGUUUUUCUGUAUAGCCCUGGCUGUCCUGGAACUCACUUUGUAGACCAGGCUGGCCUCUAACUCAGAAAUCCGCCUGCCUCUGCCUCUCCCGAGUGCUGGGAUUAAAGGUGUGUGCUACCACGCCCAGCUAAGUCAUAGGCUUCUUUGUAAGAGGGCCUGUACCCACAAACUCAGAGACCCCAUGGGGCAGGGUGGCCGGUGUCCUGGUGUCCUGUUGCGCUGUCUCCAGGUUACCAUUUGAGGGGCUGCCAGGGAGGUGUGGGGAGAAGCAAAUAUAGGCAGGGUUUGGCAGUUGUGGAGUUGGUUUCUUACUUCUGCAUUUAUAUUCUGGGAUGGAACUCAGGUCCUUCUGCUUUACUUGUGGAGCAGCUGUGUCUUUUUACUGAAUGAAUGGACUAUUGGGAGCCAUGGCUUCAGCACAAAUCUUGAGCACCCCUCCCUUGCUGACUUGAGCUUAAAUGUGGACGGUGCCUUCUGUUACCUUGUAAAAUUAAGUACUUCAGAAAAGCUACCUAAUUACAAAUGGUCUAGUCUUUGGUACUGUGCCCUCAACUGAAGUGUGGGUAUGGGGUUCACAGAAGGAGCUCCACUGAAGCAGCUGUUUUGAAGCUGUAAUACAGCUGACAAUCUACUUGAGGCUGGCCAGGAUUAAAGCUGCCCAGGAACACAGUCCACUGUUGGGUGACAAAACUUUUCCGGGGGAAUGCAACACACACAGUCUACUCACCUCCAAUUGGGAAUAUUCAACACACCAAGUAUGGAUAAAACUGAAGCCCAACAUGGUGAACCACUGAGCUUUAUUGGGGUUAGUUAUAGUAUCAGAAAUGACUCAAAGAGCUUCAUUUCACAUGGUUGGGGACCUGAAGCACAGUGAAUACUUUCAGGCAGCUCAACAGGUUGGAGAGUGACCUUUCCAGGUGCCUGCCUCAGUUGGUUUAAAACUUUUUCCAUGCAGAGUUUAUGGUUUCUGCUUCUUCCAGGCAAGCUGGUCUGGUCUUGGGUCCAGCUUAGUUCUGAUUAUGAGGGUUCUUUACAGAGAAAUUUGGUCAGUUUCAGGGACUUCCUGAAGCUAUUUUGUGUUGUUUACCUUCCUGCUUAAGGAGCUUACCUGUAGGAUAGACUGUUUAAAUCUCAGAGGGAGAGGGGGGAAGAAGGGCAGGAAAGGAAUGGGGGGAGGAGAGGGGAGGGAACUGUUACACAGCAACUAUGCUGGGCAGCAGGCUGAAUAUUUGCCAUAUGGACUUGCAGUCUCUUGAAGCAUAAUGGGAUGAAUGGGGAAGAAGCUUGUAGCAUGUGGCUGCAUGUGCCCUUGCAGAGACCUGGCUUCAAGAGAUCAAUGGUUUGACUAGCUGAGGGUCAGGGAUGGGGCUGGAUCUGGAGGACAGAGAAUGCUGCAGCAAGGAGGGGAAGGUGAGGAAGAUCUGUGUACUCUGGGGCUGGUAUUCUAAGGGAGAAUGUCUGCCCAGCAGGGACACAGUGUGGUCUUUGACUUCCUUUGAAGUCAGUAAUGGAACUCAGUAUUCUGGUAUAGAAAAGCCCAAAGUAGAUGGUGGUAGUGCACACCUUUAAUGCCAGCACUCAGGAGGCAGAGGCAGGUAGGUAGAUCUCUGGGUUCCAGGCCAGUGCUUGGUCUUAAGAAUGAGUUCUAGGACAGCCAGGGCUAUACUGAGAAAUCCUGUCUCAAAAGACAAACAAACAGGAGGAGGAGGAAGAAGAAGAGGAGGAGGAAGAAAGGAAAAAAAAAAAGAAAAGCUCAAGGUUGCUUUCAAAGGCAGAAAGUCUGAUGAAAUGUGUCUAAGUGUGGUGCUGGCAAGAUGGCUCAGUGGGUAAGAGCCCUGACUGCUCUUCUGAAGGUGCCGAGUUCAAAUUCCAGCAACCACCCGUAAUGAGAUCUGAUGUCCUCUUCUGGUGUGUCAGAAGACAGCUACAGUGUACUUAUGUAUAAUAAUAAAUAAAUCUUUUAAAAAAAUGUGUCUAAGUGUGAUCCAAGAUUGAGUGCAAGAAAGUCAUGUAUGGUGGCCUGCACCUGCAAGACUAGCACCUAGGAAGCUGGGCGGUGGUGCCUCCCAGCACUUGGGAGUCAGAGUUCGAGGCCAGCCUGGUCUACAAAGUGAGUUCCAGGACAGCCAGGGCUAUACAGAGAAACCCUGUUUCGGGGAAAACAAAAAACAAAACAAAACAAAC